GGUGCCUCGAUGGUGUAGUGAUAUCACGCACUCUCGGUAUGGAUGAAACGUGGGUUCAACUCCCGUCUCAGAUCG